rnacentral:rRNA from 1 species
GUUUAUCAAAAACAUCGCCUCUUGAUCAUAUAGGAGGUCCAGCCUGCCCAGUGACUAUGUUAAACGGCCGCGGUAUACUAACCGUGCAAAGGUAGCGCAAUCACUUGUCUCUUAAAUGGAGACUUGUAUGAAUGGCAUCACGAAGAUUUAACUGUCUCCUUUUUCCAAUCAGUGAAACUAAUCUCCCCGUGAAAAAACAGGGAUAAACACAUAAGACGAGAAGACCCUAUGAAGCUUUAAACAUGUAACAUAUGCUAUUAAUAUUUCUUCCAGAACCCCCCACAUAUUGCACACUGAUUAUAAGUUUUUGGUUGGGGUGACCGCGGAGAAAAAUUUAACCUCCACACUGAUGAACCUAAAAUUCAAAACUAAAAGUCACAACUUUAUAAAUCAAUAAAUUGGCAUCAAUUGACCCAAACAUUUGAUCAAUGAACCAAGUUACUCUAGGGAUAACAGCGCAAUCCACUUCAAGAGCACAUAUCGACAAGUGGGCUUACGACCUCGAUGUUGGAUCAGGGUACCCAAGUGGUGCAGCCGCUACUAAAGGUUCGUUUGUUCAACGAUUAAAACCCUACGUGAUCUGA